rnacentral:rRNA from 1 species
UACAGAGGUCUCAAGCGUUAUCCGGAUUCACUGGGUUUAAAGGGUGCGUAGGCGGGCAGGUAAGUCCGUGGUGAAAUCUCUGAGCUUAACUCAGAAACUGCCAUGGAUACUAUUUGUCUUGAAUAUUGUGGAGGUAAGCGGAAUAUGUCAUGUAGCGGUGAAAUGCUUAGAUAUGACAUAGAACACCAAUUGCGAAGGCAGCUUACUACACAGUAAUUGACGCUGAGGCACGAAAGCGUGGGGAUCAAACAGG